rnacentral:tRNA from 1 species
CGAUGACUUCGGUCACGACGGUAUGGCGAGCUUCGCCGUCCACGUUUCUCUUUCUUCAAGAAGACAAAAAACCGCGUCGAUCCAGUUUAGGCUGGGCCGGUUCCCCGAAUGGGCCNGUAGCUCAGUUGGUUAGAGCACACGCUGAUAAGCGUGGGGUCGGAAGUUCAAGUCUUCCCGGGCCCACCAUUCGCAUAUGCGAAUGAGGGUUAGGGAUGAUGGAAUGUGGCUGAUGCGGAACGUUGCCGAACCUGGUUUAUACCGGGUGAUCGAGCUGGAGGGGCUGUAGCUCAGCUGGGAGAGCACCUGCUUUGCAAGCAGGGGGUCAGCGGUUCGAUCCCGCUCAGCUCCACCAAAUCGAUUGGUGUUGAAGCUGACGGCAUUUGUCUUUUGAAGAAAUAAAAGUUUUGCAUCGGCUUAUGGCUGAUGCGUGUUCUGCAUACAUUGUGAAGAGAAGAUUGAUCUGGAGGCUUCCAGGUGUUUUGGGUUCUGCCCAAGGCGUCCGAGCCCAGUUCCUGUGAACCCAUGGAUGGCCUAGCCGGCCGGAUGUGGUGGAGGGAUUGGAGGUAGGAAGGAAGCUUGUCGCUCUGAGCCGUUGUUGUUUGUGGUCUUUCGGGACUGCAUCUGACGGACGGCUUGAUUACCGUUGCCUGACCGCGCGGUAUCGGAUCAUAUCUCGAGAAGCUGGUCUUAAGACAGGCUGCAAGCGAGCUGCUCGGCGUAGCUCCAAUAAAGCAGACCUGUCGAACACGUUAAUGGCAUUGUU